UGAGACAGGCACUAUAGGUUCCCUAGAGGACACAUUUACUGUGACACUGCUCCAGCAGGAGCUUUAUUUACAUCUUACAUGGCUUAUUUACUUGUAUUUUGUCUACUAUGUUGGACAAUACGAGUGUAAAGUCAUGUAAAACCACAAAGAAGUACGCUGUCCAGAAAAAAAAGACAAGGAACUACUAGCAUCCCCUCCCCUUCCGCUACGUAGCCAAGACGCCGACUACUGAGGGUGCGAGAAAGGAUGAAGAAGCGUCACAGGAGAAGGUGUUUAUCUGUCUCCAAGCAUGCCGCUUCUCCAAAACACUUCCUGGGAUUACCUGCCGCCUCCCGGGAUGGAGCAAAUCUCUGCGGAGGCAAGCACAGAAAAUUGGGAUGGCGAGAGCUGGGCGUGAGGGAUGAAGAUGAGGAGAAGCAGGAAGAGAGCGGCUGAUGAGGUGAUGAGGAGAGGAGAGCUGCCAAGUGAACACUGACCACGUUUGCAUGCACAGUGUUCCCAUUCAUAUUCCCUUUAAGACCAGACGUGUUUGCAUUCACAAGCAAUAAGAAUACAGCUGAAUUCCUUCCAGAAGGUCAGACUCUCAUAAGAAAUCAUUUAAAUCCAACUCAUCCGUUCCAUAGAGCCAAAAAUGUGAACACAAAACAAAUUUCCUAGUUUUACAAUUAUAGUUUCACAUGCAGUAAACAAUUCCAAAUGCGUAUAAAUACAUAUGAAUGAUGAAUGAAAGCGAUAAACGAACAUUUAAAGUUACUUUUACCUUCACUAAAGACGUGAUUCUUGAUGUGUGUCCGCCAAAGACAAAACACGGACACCAUCUUCCUGUUUUGCCACAAGUUAUUUCUUGAAUUUAACAGUGUUUCUCACCACAAUAAGCCAAAAUGGAGCUAAAGAAAGUUUCAAGUGCCAGCAUUUUGAUCAAGAAGUUGAAAAACACUACUGAAAUGAAUUGAAUUGAAUAACUAACUCAUGACAAAACAGGAAGGUGCUUUUCGUGUUGUGUCUCGCUGCCACAUCCUGUCUUUGGGAACACUCACAUCAAGAAUCUUCAGUGGAGGUAAAAGGAAGCUAAAAUGUUCAUUUAUCCCUUUCAUUCAUCAUUGAUAUGCAUUUAGAAAUGUUUUAUGCACGUAAAACUUCCGCAGCUAGCUAGCUUCUUUGUUUUUGUGAUUAAAAAAAUACAUUAAGAACACAGUUGGACUAACGCAGUGUAUUAAUAACACGACAAAACGUGUGCUGUAUUGUAGUAAAUGUACCUAAACUAAACUCACAUUUUGGUGAAAAUUUUCAACUUUAACUGACAAACAUGCUAACCGUAGUUCUGCUGUAUUCCCGCUUACGUGUGAAACAGCAUAUUUCCAACACUUGUUUUUAUUUUUCUGUCUAAAAGCUGGACCCUGAAGUCAAAAUGCUUCCCUUUUGUUGCUGAUCAAAUCCAUCAUUUCUACUGUAUGGCAUGCACUCCAAUGGGUCAUUCGCGAACGAUUCAGCUCUUAGAGUCGUCUCCUUUGAAGUGAACGGAUGCUGCUUUGUAUUUUACUUUUGCACAUCCUAAUUCAUAUCUUGUUGAUGUUGUUGUUGCUCCACAUUUAGACAUUUAUAAACAAUACACACAAUCUGGGAUUGGACAGUUUGGAAUCCUCUCACAUUUCAAACGAAUCCAACGCCGUAUUCAGGACACGUUGGCUGUUCAUCAGGACUUUUCAAAAUAUUUCAACAUUUACUGUAAUUUCGUAUUUUCUGUGGUAAUUUUUCCAUUGAAAAUGAAUGUGCAAUUUAUUUGUAGCCUCCUACUUUCGGAAAAUCGUUUUACAUUUUACAUUACUGUAAAAUUUCGGUUAUUUGACAGACUGACAUGGCUGAGGAGGUGGCGUAGCUGGUUCGAUACUCAAUCCUGCUGUAAUCAUUCAAUGUAUUUAUACAUUUUAACAUUCAGUCUGCAUUUUUACUUUCCAAUAUUCCAAAUUCAGCUCAUUCAGGACAUGUAGGCUGUCUAUCAGGACCUUUCUAAAAAUCCCCCGAUUUUCCAUGAUUCCAUAUCUUCUGUGACAUUUUCCCCAUUUGAAAUGAACAGACAACUUCAAUGUCUCCCCCUACUGGUGGCCA